rnacentral:misc_RNA from 1 species
GUCGGUCUUCUCUUUACAGAACUGGAAGCUUUAGACCAGAGAAUCUGGGUCAGAAUGCGCUUGCCCUUAUUGGGAAUCUUUGUUUCACUUUGUUUGUGGUUGGGGUCCUGAUUUUUACGAUUAUUGCUGCUACCUACGAACCUGAGGACCCUCUGUUUCACCCAUCGACUAAGAUCACUACCUUUCUCACAUCAAACUCCAAUGCCACUUUUAAAACUGAUAGUACUGUGAUGAAGACUGGGGAGGAUUUCAUGGCUGCCAAUCAAACUGCAUUUGCAACUUUUCUCAAUGAAACUGAUAUUGUCAAAAUCAUUGAUGCUGAGAACUCUGCUUUGGGUACUGCUACUGAAGGAACUUCGCCUGAAUGCAAUAGCAAUGUCGA